UCGCCUCAUGAGGUUGUUAGCUUUCUGGUUGGCGGCGUCGAUGCGGGAGACGUUCAGGUUGGCCUGCAGACAAAGAAGGGAAACAGGUGCUUCAUUACAGGAAGAACAGUCUGGAAUAUUCUACGAGUGUGGUGCUCCCCAGCGAUAAUGCAGCCUGUUGAAUCAGAAACGAGGUGAUGGAAACACGGAGGGGAAACUAAAAUGGCCGUGGCACACCAGGAAGUCCGGUUUUUUGCAGCCGGUUUGGAUCUGAGUCGGCUGGGUUUUGGUUCUGAUCUAGUGUUUAAACAUGCUGUGGGUUCUGCUGAGUCGGCGGCCGUCCUCUGUCAACAUCCUGUCUGUCCUGGGGGACGUCCCCACUGAGACGCUGAGGAGCUGAUAAAUAAUGACCCACGGUGUGUGUGUGUGAGUUUAGCUCCGCCCCCCGCUGACUUCACCUAGGGUUGUCUCUAUGGCAACCAGGUGAGCCAGGUGUUGCUGUGAUGCCUCCAUGGCAGCAUCCCUGUCUAACCCUAUCUUCAGGUUAUUUUUAGACUUUUGGAGAAUAGAUCCAGGUUUCCAAUAAGAACAUGAAUAAACCCAGACUGGAUUAUGGAUUAUUAUGAUGAACAGAUAAUAUGAAAAUUAUUGAUAGAAACAAUCCAGA